GCUAGGCAUGGUGGCACAUGCCUGUAAUCCCAGUGGCUCAGGAGGCUGAGACAGAAGGAUCAGAAUUCAAAGCUAGCCUCAGCAAAGUGAAGUGUCAAGCAACUCAGUGAGACCCUGUCUCUA
rnacentral:sRNA from 1 species